CCCUUAGAUGUCCUGGGCCGCACGCGCGCUACACUGAUGCAUUCAACGAGUAUUUCCUUGGCCGAGAGGCCUGGGCAAUCUUUUAAACCUGCAUCGUGAUAGGGAUAGAUUAUUGCAAUUAUUAAUCUUGAACGAGGAAUCCCUAGUAAACGCAAAUCAUCAAUUUGCAUUGAUUACGUCCCUGCCCUUUGUACACACCGCCCGUCGCACCUACCGAUUGAAUGGUCCGGUGAAAUCUCGGGAUUGUGGCCAGUUCACUUUAUUGGGAGUUGGCUGCGAGAACUUGCUUAAACCUUAUCAUUUAGAGGAAGGUGAAGUCGUAACA
rnacentral:rRNA from 1 species